rnacentral:pre_miRNA from 1 species
GUGCCCUACUCAGAAAGGUGACAGUCACUCAGAUUACAUGUCACUGUUUCCUUUCUGAGUAGAAUAAGACUUA